rnacentral:rRNA from 1 species
GAUGAACGCUGGCGGCGUGCCUAAUACAUGCAAGUCGAGCGAAUGGAUUAAGAGCUUGCUCUUAUGAAGUUAGCGGCGGACGGGUGAGUAACACGUGGGUAACCUGCCCAUAAGACUGGGAUAACUCCGGGAAACCGGGGCUAAUACCGGAUAAUAUUUUGAACUGCAUGGUUCAAAAUUGAAAGGCGGCUUCGGCUGUCACUAAUGGAUGGACCCGCGUCGCAUUAGCUAGUUGGUGAGGUAACGGCUCACCAAGGCAACGAUGCGUAGCCGAACGGAGGGGGUGAUCUGCCACACUGGGACUGAGACACGGCCCAGACUCCUACGGGAGGCAGCAGUAGGGAAUAUUCCGCAAUGGACGAAAGUCUGACGGAGCAACGCCGCGUGAGUGAUGAAGGCUUUCGGGUCGUAAAACUCUGUUGUUAGGGAAGAACAAGUGCUAGUUGAAUAAGCUGGCACCUUGACGGUACCUAACCAGAAAGCCACGGCUAACUACGUGCCAGCAGCCGCAGUAA